rnacentral:rRNA from 1 species
CCUACGGGCGGCAGCAGUGAGGAAUAUUGGUCAAUGGACGAGAGUCUGAACCAGCCAAGUAGCGUGAAGGAUGACUGCCCUAUGGGUUGUAAACUUCUUUUAUAAAGGAAUAAAACGAGGCACGUGUGCCUUUUUGCAUGUACUUUAUGAAUAAGGAUCGGCUAACUCCGUGCCAGCAGCCGCGGUAAUACGGAGGAUCCGAGCGUUAUCCGGAUUUAUUGGGUUUAAAGGGAGCGUAGAUGGGUUGUUAAGUCAGUUGUGAAAGGUUGCGGCUCAACCGUAAAAUUGCAAUUGAUACUGGCAGUCUUGAGUACAGGUGAGGUAGGCGGAAUUCGUGGUGUAGCGGUGAAAUGCUUAGAUAUCACGAAGAACCCCGAUUGCGAAGGCAGCUUACUAAACUGUGACUGACAUUGAUGCUCGAAAGUGUGGGUAUCAAACAGGAUUAGAUACCCUUGUAGUC